UAAUAAACAUUUUAAACAAUUAAAAAAUAACAACUUUUAAAAAUGGGGAAGAUUCCAUAGUCACCAUACCAUCUCAUCUUCUCCCUUAAAAAAGAAAAGAGUGUUAUUCCAGAUUCCUCGUUUUACACCCAGGAAACUGAGGCCGGGAGAAGGGAUGUGACCAGGAGCGCAUUGUGGGGCAUCUCAUGGCGCCUGAGGCCUCCUGCCUCUCCAGCGAUCCCCCGAUCCCCCAGAUGCGGCUGCGACACAGAAGUUUUCACUCAUCAGAGGAUCCCUUCCUGAGGAAUUGUUUGGGAAGGAAAGGAGAAGAGAGAGUGCGGGAAAGGUGGGGAAUUCAGAUCGCCCGUGAUGGCGUGAUGGCGUGUCGCAUGCUCCUGCUGGGUCACAAAUCUUGUCUGCACUCACGCCCGAGGGAGAGGACAGCAUCCUACUCAUUUCAGAAAAGGAAGAGAAGAGAGUAUUAGUCAGAAGCUGUCAUUUGGGUACGCUUUUUAUUUUUUUCCGGGGAAGCGCUGGGGGGAUGGGUAGAGGAGACCCCCUCAUUCCAGAUUUAAAAAAGGAAGGCGUCCUAGAAGUGACAGGUGGGAAUAUCGUCCACCACUGUUUGUUCAGCUUUCGCCAAGUUAGAGGUCAACCUCCAGUUGUCGAUGGGGGGAAAAGUCUAGUGAACAAAAUAUCCUUAUCGUUAAAUAUUAUCUUGCAAAAAUAUUUACUGGGGGGUAAACGUAGAACAUUGUGUUGAUAAUGAGACGCACAAAAUUCGAAACUGCGGCCAAUCCCACGAAACAAUACCCAGGAAGAGGCUUUGUUUCCAUCAGCCCUGGUGGGCCCGUGCUGGUAUUUAGAGGUUUGCCUGCGGCCCUGGUCCUUGUCGUGAGCUUCCGGCUUCACGGGCCACCAUGCUUCUUGGCCAAAUGGAUUAUUUUUUAUUACUCUCCCAGGGUGAAUGUAAAAAAGCUUUUAGUGUACAUCAUAACCUAAGCGUCACUCCUGAAAAUCAAACUGGGUUAGAGCCGUAUUCCUGUUUGGGAGAACAUUCUCACUCCCCCCAUGUUUGUUCAUCUCAUUUCCUGAAAGCCUGGGUGUAUCCCAGACCCUUCGUUCCCAGUGAGGAGGGCAGUGAAAACAGACGCGUGCAGCAAGGAUCAGGACAACUCGGGGUGGAGGAUGAAGUAAGCUCUGUGCGCCCCAGGAGCUCAGAAGCAGCAGUCUGGAUGGAUUCCCCUCUUGCACACCGCCCGCCCGAGCGUCGUAUCCAGGGGCCUGGGGUCACCAUCCCGCCUGGUGCUGUGGACGCAUCCUGUGCUCAGUCCUUCAUGCCCAGAUUGCUGCCGUGGCCUCCUGGCUGAGUCCGCGUCCCGGUUCAUUCCACCCACCUGCACCUGCUGAGCCUCCCCAAACCCACCCUCCUCCAGGGAAGCUGGUCUCCAGGACACCCUCUCUGAAAGAGGACUUCAGCUGCCUCCACUUUGGCCACAGACUGUCUAGUUGGGGUCUUUCCAGCUCGUCCCUGGGCUCAGAAGGAAGAUACUGUAGGCAAAGCAGCCCCUGAUGGAACUAAAGUGCCCGCUCACGCGGCAAGGACUGUCCCCAGCCAGUAAGAUCCCGCCCGUGACUGACCCCAAGACAGCGGUCUGUUUGACCUUCCCUGUCCACCAGCAGGUGCCCACCCACCUUUGCCCCACAUUUUCUGUAUGUAAACCUGCAAGUGUGUGCAGUACCUUGGAGAUAGUCAAAAAUAUUUAAACACCUCUAGUUUACACAAUGAAAUGCAGAGGCAUCGGGGGUUGGGGGGGGGGGGAGCCCUGGCUGCCAAGAAGUCGCCAAUGGCACCUUCCAGGCAGACAUGCUGUGCAAGGUGCAUUUGAGCCUUUGACAAUGUGUUUGGACAGUGUGGUCUAGGUGGGUAGAUAAUAGAAUGAGAAACAGAGGUUUAAAGCAUCCAUCAAUCCAAAUUUUACAGCCAUUACUGAACUUUAAAACGCAUUUCUCUUGAAGGCGGAGAAACUCAGGCUCACGUGGUUGAAGGAUUUCCGUGAACAUCUAGGCAGCUGAGUUAGAAGUAGGACCCAAGCAUCCAGGUCCCAUCCAGGGCUGUGCCCCAAGCCCCCGGGCCUCUGCAUUUUAUCUUGUAAACUAUAGUGUUUACAUAUUUUUGACUAGCUACAAGAUACAUACUCAUUUUCAUAUCAGUGAAAAAAAUAAAAGGAAAAAAAAAGAAAACAACUCACCACGCGGUGUUAACCGUAGUCACAGAUCCUACCAGGCUUUCCAUUGUUUUCCCCUUACCUGGUUUUACCACACAAUCUUAUUUUGCUGUUUGGAACCUGACUCUUUCUUAUAAAAGAUCAUGAAUAUCCUUUCAAUUCAAUGCGUCUGACUCUACAAGACCCUGUAUCCAAAAUCCCUCGGACUUUCCUAAGGGAUCAGAGCAAUCAAGGUGUCUUUUGUUAGGUUAAUGAAGUGACUUUUGGACCCCUUCGGAGGUUGGGGCUGGUUGCCAGGGGAAGGGACCAGGUGAUUGGAACUUUCAGUCCCACCCCCUCAGACCUCGGUGGAGGUUGAAUCCAUCACCAAGGUCGAUGAUGUAAUCAAGCAUGCCGAGGUAAUGAGGCCUCCAUAAAACACCAAAGGAAGGGCUUAGGAGAGCUUCCAGGUUGGUGAACACGUGGAAAUUGGGGGAGAGACAGGUCCCCUGAAAAGGAUGUGAGUUCCAUGUGCUCUGGCCAUACCUCAUCCCACGCAUUUCUUCCAUCUGGCCCGUUCCCAAGCUGUAUCCUUCCAGGAUAAACCGGUGAUCUGCAUGGAGCCCAACGUGGGGUUUGAACUCAUGACCCUGAGAUCAAGACCUGAGCUAAGAUCAACAGUCGGAUGCUUAACCGACUGAGCCACCCAGGCGCCCCACAAGUAAUUUGGAUUUUAUCUUGAAGAAAGAUCCUGGAAGCAUUGAAAUGUUUGAAUGGAGGAGAGACGUAAUCAAAUGCAUGGUUGAUUAGAAAGACGCUCUGGCUCGGCCACAGUGGUUGGUUCUCAAUGGAGGACUAACGAAGUCAGAGGACGCUCCUUAGAAAUACACAAUCUUAUUGCCAGCUGGUGCUCCGACCUGGAAUUGUGACCUAUUCCCAUGGAGAUCUGGAUUUGAUCUCCUGUGAGACGAAAGGGGAUUUUGUGAGAGACCAAUCUGGCCUGAGUGGCUUGCGGACUGUUGCCUUCCUUGGAGUAACUGUACUUUGGUUUUCUAAGGGAAGUGGGAUCCCUUAGAAUCCCUCCCCAGUGGGAUGCAUUCCUAGUUCACAAUCAAGUGUCGAGGAGAAAGAGAUUCCUAAGGGUGAACCUCGAGACUCCAAGCCAGGCAGAAAGCCAGAGCCUUUAGAUCAUGGUGUGAACACAGAAAUCUGCUCCUUAGUUGUGCAAGGCGUCUUUGACCCAUCAGAAGACACUUCACAAUCCUUUUCUCAUCUCUGGUCUAGAAUUAAAUGAUUAAUGCAGCUCAGGAGCUCAGCACCUGCAUGGCAUUUAAUAAAGUUAUAUAAAGUGG